rnacentral:piRNA from 1 species
GAAGCUAGAAGGGCAUUUUGGCCCAAAGG